GGAGAGGUGACCGAGCGGUUUAAGGUGGUGGUCUUGAAAACCAUUGUAGGGCAUAACCCUACCGGGGGUUCGAAUCCCUCCCUCUCCGCCA
rnacentral:tRNA from 1 species